GCCCAUGUAGAUUAUUUAAAUUGUGAGGCUGUUAACCUUGAGAAAGCUUUAGGUUCUUGGGCG
rnacentral:tRNA from 1 species